GACGAGCGCUGGCGGCGUGCUUAACACAUGCAAGUCGAACGAUGAAGCUGGAGCUUGCUCCGGUGGAUUAGUGGCGAACGGGUGAGUAACACGUGAGCAAUCUGCCCUUGACUCUGGGAUAACUGCGGGAAACUGUAGCUAAUACCGGAUACGAGACCUGAAGGCAUCUUCGGGUCUGGAAAGAAUUUCGGUCAAGGAUGAGCUCGCGGCCUAUCAGCUUGUUGGUGAGGUAAUGGCUCACCAAGGCGACGACGGGUAGCCGGCCUGAGAGGGUGACCGGCCACACUGGGACUGAGACACGGCCCAGACUCCUACGGGAGGCAGCAGUGGGGAAUAUUGCACAAUGGGCGAAAGCCUGAUGCAGCAACGCCGCGUGAGGGAUGAAGGCCUUCGGGUUGUAAACCUCUUUUAGCAGGGAAGAAGCGAAAGUGACGGUACCUGCAGAAAAAGCACCGGCUAACUACGUGCCAGCAGCCGCCGCGG
rnacentral:rRNA from 1 species